CCUACGGGUGGCAGCAGUAGGGAAUAUUGCUCAAUGGGGGAAACCCUGAAGCAGCAACGCCGCGUGGAGGAUGAAGGUUUUCGGAUUGUAAACUCCUUUUGUUAGAGAAGAGAAUGACGGUAUCUAACGAAUAUUCACCGGCAAACUCCGUCCCAGCAGCCGCGGUAACACGGAGGGUGCAAGCGUUAUUCGGAAUCACUGGGCGUAAGGAGCGCGUAGGCGGGAUAGCAAGUCAGAGGUGAAAUCCUAUGGCUUAACCGUAGAACUGCAUUUAAAACUGUUAUUCUAGGGUAUGGGGGAGGUAGGUGAAGUUCUUGGUGUGAGGGUAAAGUCCG
rnacentral:rRNA from 1 species